AACUCAGUGAAUAAAUACCAACAACAAAAGCAACACAUGCUCUUCAGAUUGAAUUUAGCCUACCGCAUUGCCUGCUGGGACAGAAGAUGACAUCAAAAAUUGCUGGGUUUUGGUGAAAUGGCAGGAUUUUGCUCAUGGGCAACGACGACCGUAAAAUUAGCCUGAAAAGGAAUUAGUCAAGCAAAGAGUCCUGCGUUCUGUUCGUGGAAAGCCUCGACUGCCUGCUUCAGUUGGUGUUCAGAAGACAUAGGCGUCACUUAAUGACCUGCUGUUCAAACUAUGCUCUGCGGACAACAUUAAUAGCCUUCCCUGCAAUUGCUGUGCGUACACGUUGACAUGUUUCCAGAUUUACAGCAUGAAGGGAAGAAACAACUUUACAGCAUUUUUAGCACAGAAAAGGAGGAGAGAUUUACAGGACAUAUGGUUGGCCUCUGUCUGCAUAAUCAUUCAGCUUGAAAUGUUAAUCUGGUUUAUAUUUUACUACCAUAUAAAAGUGUGCCUGGAUCAGGGAAACCUGCAGUGCAAUAACCACAAUAGUGCGUGUUCCUAA
rnacentral:lncRNA from 1 species